CACUUGUCAUCACCACAAUUCACCUCAUCCCCUCUAACCCAAUGUGCAAUCACACGGGCCUAAGAUCCGGAUUAAUGACCCGCAUAUUUUUUUCCCGACAAUCUCUUUUCUCUUUGAAAACAUAAUUGGGUUUUUUCUUCAUCGUCAUCACCAGAAACCCUAAAUUAACACUUCCAUGCCUCCUUUCCAUUAUAUACUUGAGUUUUUUUUUCAUCAUCAAAUUCUCUUUUUCUUGAUCUUCGUUUGAAAGCAAUGGGAAUAGCUGCUGGAAGUUCUAAUGGAUUCUCACAAACACCAAUUCUAAAAGAUCGAUUUUAAUUUCUUCAUAUUUCGGACAACAAAUCUGCCCUUGAAAAGAAGGUCAGAUGGAGGAAGUUUAGGACCCGAAGUACGUUUGCGGGAAAGGCGACAUCAACUUCUCGAUCAGAGAUAGUAUUUAUUAAUUUUUAUAGAUUUAAAAUUGUGUUUAAUGCAUCUUUUUUGCUGUUUGUGCUAUGUUCUCUGAUUGAAUAAGAUUGAGAAGUUUUAGUGUCCAAAAAGUGUGAUUAACGAUUAAAGAAUGAAGAACAAUGUUGAGAGUACCUAAUCCUUGCAAUGCUGAAGAUGAUGUAUGUGUUUGGUAAUUAUAGGAUGAUGACAUAGUGAAUAUAUGGAAUUACUCAAAUAAGCUCUGAGGUGGCAGUUGAUCUUAAACUGGCCGAAUUAUUCAAAUAAAAAUAUACGUUUGUUUGACAAUUAUAGGAUGAUGACAUAGUGAAUAUAUGGAAUCUCAGAGGCUCAAAAAGUGUAGUGCUGCUGCCUUGGAUAUGAUCUCUAAUGUGUUUGGUAAUGACAUUUUUCAGCUAUUGUUCUAUAGAAUUCGGAACCUUAGUUUCGAUAUAAAUCAUGAGUUUAUUGGUAUUAUUCAUGCAAUUUAUUUUCUUUCUUUUUUGUAUGUAUGGCUCUCUGUGUCUCUAUUAACUCUCUAUGAGCCUUAAUGUAUCAUUCAUGAUUUUAUUAAUCUUGACACUUUUGGCA